UCAGAUUGAACGCUGGCGGCAGGCCUAACACAUGCAAGUCGAGCGGUAGAGAGAAGCUUGCUUCUCUUGAGAGCGGCGGACGGGUGAGUAAUGCCUAGGAAUCUGCCUGGUAGUGGGGGAUAACGUUCGGAAACGGACGCUAAUACCGCAUACGUCCUACGGGAGAAAGCAGGGGACCUUCGGGCCUUGCGCUAUCAGAUGAGCCUAGGUCGGAUUAGCUAGUUGGUGAGGUAAUGGCUCACCAAGGCGACGAUCCGUAACUGGUCUGAGAGGAUGAUCAGUCACACUGGAACUGAGACACGGUCCAGACUCCUACGGGAGGCAGCAGUGGGGAAUAUUGGACAAUGGGCGAAAGCCUGAUCCAGCCAUGCCGCGUGUGUGAAGAAGGUCUUCGGAUUGUAAAGCACUUUAAGUUGGGAGGAAGGGCAGUAAAUUAAUACUUUGCUGUUUUGACGUUACCGACAGAAUAAGCACCGGCUAACUCUGUGCCAGCAGCCGCGGUAAUACAGAGGGUACAAGCGUUAAUCGGAAUUACUGGGCGUAAAGCGCGCGUAGGUGGUUUGUUAAGUUGGAUGUGAAAUCCCCGGGCUCAACCUGGGAACUGCAUUCAAAACUGACUGACUAGAGUAUGGUAGAGGGUGGUGGAAUUUCCUGUGUAGCGGUGAAAUGCGUAGAUAUAGGAAGGAACACCAGUGGCGAAGGCGACCACCUGGACUAAUACUGACACUGAGGUGCGAAAGCGUGGGGAGCAAACGGGAUUAGAUACCCUGGUAGUCCACGCCGUAAACGAUGUCAACUAGCCGUUGGAAGCCUUGAGCUUU
rnacentral:rRNA from 1 species